rnacentral:tRNA from 2 species
GUGGAUUUAGCGUAGCUGGUUAACGCGCCAGUUUGUGGCACUGGAGAUCAAGGGUUCGAAUCCCUUAUUCCACCCCA